UUGAGCAAUAGUAACUUAGGUC
rnacentral:miRNA from 1 species